GCCGCAGUCGCAUAACCUGGUAGUGCGCCUGGCUUGAGACCAGGUCCCUUUGGGAUUCCGGUUCGAAUCCGGGCUGCGGCG
rnacentral:tRNA from 1 species